rnacentral:rRNA from 1 species
UACAGAGGGGGCAAGCGUUAAUCGGAAUUACUGGGCGUAAAGCGUGCGUAGACGGUUGGGUAAGUCGGGUGUGAAAGCCCCGGGCUCAACCUGGGAAUUGCAUUCGAGACUGCUCUGCCAGAGUGCGGAAGAGGGAAGCGGAAUUUCCGGUGUAGCGGUGAAAUGCGUAGAUAUCGGGAGGAACACCAGAGGCGAAGGCGGCAAGCUGGAUGGGCACUGACACUCAACUGCGAAAGCGUGGGGAGCAAACAGG